GGGGUCCGCGUCCGAUUAGCUAGUUGGUGAGGUAAUGGCUCACCAAGGCUCCGAUCGGUAGCCGGCCUGAGAGGGCGGACGGCCACACUGGGACUGAGACACGGCCCAGACUCCUACGGGAGGCAGCAGUGGGGAAUUGUUCGCAAUGGGCGCAAGCCUGACGACGCAACGCCGCGUGGAGGAUGAAGAUCUUCGGGUCGUAAACUCCUGUCGAAUGGGACGAAUGGCCCGGCCGUGAAUAACGGUCGGGAAUGACGGUACCGUGAGAGGAAGCCCCGGCUAACUCCGUGCCAGCAGCCGCGGUAAUACGGGGGGGGCGAGCGUUGUUCGGAAUUACUGGGCGUAAAGGGCUCGUAGGUGGCCUUCUAAGUCAGACGUGAAAUCCCUCGGCUCAACCGGGGAACUGCGUCUGAGACUGGGAGGCUUGAAUCCGGGAGAGGGACGUGGAAUUCCAGGUGUAGCGGUGAAAUGCGUAGAUAUCUGGAGGAACACCGGUGGCGAAGGCGGCGUCCUGGACCGGUAUUGACACUGAGGGAGCGAAAGCCAGGGGAGCAAACGGGAUUAGAUACCCCGGUAGUCCUGGCCCUAAACGAUGAGUGCUUGGUGUGGCGGGUAUCGAUCCCCGCCGUGCCGAAGCUAACGCGGUUAAGCACUCCGCCUGGGGAGUACGGUCGCAAGGCUGAACUCAAGGAAUUGACGGGGGCCCGCACAGCGGUGGAGCAUGUGGUUCAAUUCGACGCAACGCGAAGACCCUUACCCAGGCUUGAACUGCAGUUGACAUUCAUGAAGUGAGUUUCCCGCAGGAC
rnacentral:rRNA from 1 species